UGGGGAAUUUUGGACAAUGGGCGAAAGCCUGAUCCAGCAAUGCCGCGUGUGUGAAGAAGGCCUUCGGGUUGUAAAGCACUUUUGUCCGGAAAGAAAUGGCUCUGGUUAAUACCUGGGGUCGAUGACGGUACCGGAAGAAUAAGGACCGGCUAACUACGUGCCAGCAGCCGCGGUAAUACGUAGGGUCCAAGCGUUAAUCGGAAUUACUGGGCGUAAAGCGUGCGCAGGCGGUUGUGCAAGACCGAUGUGAAAUCCCCGAGCUUAACUUGGGAAGUGCAUUGGUGAAUGCACGGCUAGAGUGUGUCAGAGGGGGGUAGAAUUCCACGUGUAGCAGUGAAAUGCGUAGAGAUGUGGAGGAAGAACGAUGGCGAAGGCAGCGCCCUGGUAGAACACUGACGCUCAUGCACGAAAGCGUGGGGAGCAAACAGG
rnacentral:rRNA from 1 species